AAAACGACUCUCGGCAACGGAUAUCUCGGCUCUCGCAUCGAUGAAGAACGUAGCGAAAUGCGAUACUUGGUGUGAAUUGCAGAUCCCGUGAACCAUCGAGUUUUUGAACGCAAGUUGCGCCCAAAGCCUUCGGGUUGAGGGYACGUCUGCCUGGGUGUCACGC
rnacentral:rRNA from 1 species